UACGAAGGGGGCUAGCGUUGCUCGGAAUCACUGGGCGUAAAGGGUGCGUAGGCGGGUCUUUAAGUCAGGGGUGAAAUCCUGGAGCUCAACUCCAGAACUGCCUUUGAUACUGAGGAUCUUGAGUUCGGGAGAGGUGAGUGGAACUGCGAGUGUAGAGGUGAAAUUCGUAGAUAUUCGCAAGAACACCAGUGGCGAAGGCGGCUCACUGGACCAUAACUGACGCUGAGGCACGAAAGCUAGGGGAGCAAACAGG
rnacentral:rRNA from 1 species